rnacentral:rRNA from 1 species
GACGAACGCUGGCGGCGUGCCUAAUACAUGCAAGUUGAGCGCUGAAGGUUGGUACUUGUACCAACUGGAUGAGCAGCGAACGGGUGAGUAACGCGUGGGGAAUCUGCCUUUGAGCGGGGGACAACAUUUGGAAACGAAUGCUAAUACCGCCUAAAAACUUUAAACACAUGUUUUAAGUUUGAAAGAUGCCAUUGCAUCACUCAAAGAUGAUCCCGCGUUGUAUUAGCUAGUUGGUGCGGUAAAGGCUCACCAAGGCGAUGAUACAUAGCCGACCUGAGAGGGUGAUCGGCCACAUUGGGACUGAGACACGGCCCAAACUCCUACGGGAGGCAGCAGUAGGGAAUCUUCGGCAAUGGACGAAAGUCUGACCGAGCAACGCCGCGGGAGUGAAGAAGGUUUUCGGAUCGUAAAACUCUGUUGGUAGAGAAGAACGUUGGUGAGAGUGGAAAGCUCAUCAAGUGACGGUAACUACACAGAAAGGGACGGCUAACUACGUG